CCAGGGUCUGAAGGAUCUCACUGGGGCCUCCAAAAUGUUAUGCCCAGGAGUUCUCCAGAGACCACAUAGUCAGACAAG
rnacentral:miRNA from 1 species